rnacentral:rRNA from 1 species
GAGUUUGAUCCUGGCUCAGGACGAACGCUGGCGGCGUGCUUAACACAUGCAAGUCGAGCGGUAAGGCUCCUUCGGGAGUACACGAGCGGCGAACGGGUGAGUAACACGUGAGCAAUCUGCCCUUCACAUCGGAAUAACUUCGGGAAACCGAAGCUAAUACCGAAUACGACCACCGAUGGCAUCAUCUGGUGGUGGAAAGUUCUGGCAGUGAAGGAUGAGCUCGCGGCCUAUCAGCUUGUUGGUGAGGUAAUGGCUCACCAAGGCGACGACGGGUAGCCGGCCUGAGAGGUAGUGACCGGCCACACUGGGACUGAGACACGGCCCAGACUCCUACUGUGGAGGCAGCAGUG